AUUGAACGCUGGCGGCAUGCCUUACACAUGCAAGUCGAACGGCAGCGGGGGAGAAGCUUGCUUUUCCUGCCGGCGAGUGGCGAACGGGUGAGUAAUACAUCGGAACGUGCCCUGUAGUGGGGGAUAACUAGUCGAAAGAUUAGCUAAUACCGCAUACGACCUGAGGAUGAAAGUGGGGGACCGCAAGGCCUCAUGCUAUAGGAGCGGCCGAUGUCUGAUUAGCUAGUUGGUGGGGUAAAGGCCUACCAAGGCGACGAUCAGCAGCUGGUCUGAGAGGACGAGCGGCCACACUGGGUGUGAGACCCGGCCCAGACUCCUACGGGAGGCAGCAGUGGGGAAUUUUGGACAAUGGGCGAAAGCCUGAUCCAGCAAUGCCGCGUGUGUGAAGAAGGCCUUCGGGUUGUAAAGCACUUUUGUCCGGAAAGAAAUGGCUCUGGUUAAUACCUGGGGUCGAUGACGGUACCGGAAGAACAAGGACCGGCUAACUACGUGCCAGCAGCCGCGGUAAGAC
rnacentral:rRNA from 1 species